rnacentral:misc_RNA from 1 species
AGAGAGAAAAUUAUCUGCUUUGAGAAUUGUAGAGGACAUGCUCCUAAGAUGUCUGCCACCGGAGGCAUCAACUUGGUCCAGAGUCAUUCAAAGGACAUGCAAACCAAAAAGGAUUCAAGAAACCAUAGACCAGUGUUGCAGAAGCCUGUAUGGGUAACGACUUUAGGGACUGUACUUUGCUGUCCUUUGAGGAUGGAGCAUGAUGUCUCAGAAGAAAAGUUCUCCGAGUGUUGAGGUGAG